CUCGAGAAGACCAGAAAGCAUGUUAUAGAAUUGGACUUAUUUUGCUUUCAUGAUGUUUUUGUAGUUACUGUUUUAUGCCCAAGACUCAUCAUAAGAUUGAAGCUUAUCAUUUCUUCAAACUUGUAAAACGAAUAUGCCAGAGAAAAUACCUGUUAUACUUGAGGAAUAAGCUGAAAGCCGAUACUAUUGACCGAUCCGAUAAUAUGAA
rnacentral:lncRNA from 1 species